GGCCAUUGGUGGAUUUAAGCCAAAAAGAAUUGGAAAACGCCUCGUUAUUUUUCACAUCUUUUCUCCCCAAAUUGACUCUCUCUCUCUCUCUCUAUAAAAACGGCAGACUGAAGAGCAAAUAUGGCCGGAACGGAGGUUAGUAUCUAGGACCCUCGACGCCGGUGACACAGUAAUUAGUACUUCGGUCGGCGUCUUUCUCUUCUCAUUUUAGAAUCUGUAAUGGAUGUAUUUUCUCCUAAAUAUUUUGUUCUUUUUUUCAUAUAAUGUGAAGAACAUCAUCAGCAUAUCUUCUCCACGGAUCCUCAAUUCGCAAGCAAAUUCUCAUUUUCGUUUUUUUUUGUAGGUUUUAUUUUUUAUUUUUCACGAGUAUUUUAAUGGAGAUUCCAUGCUCUUUAAUUAAUUCAUAAUCACGAGGAUAAUUAAUUAAGAUUAUUAUUUGGAAAUUGUGUCUGGAAUGGGGCUUGUGUUGUUGCCAGGAAGUUUCAUGGCUUCUGACUUUCUUUCAGUUUUGAGAAUUUGUGUCUUCUUUCAUGGCUUCAGUUUCAGCAGGCAUUCGAUAAUGGGUCUUGAAUUUGCGAUUCAUUUGUUGGCAGAUAACUUGAAUUUUUCUCUGCAGUUUUUUAUUUUCAAUUUUGUUGAUCAAGUUUCCCAUCCCAGCUUGAAACACUGAUAUGUAUGUGGCAUUAGUUUAUCAUUAUUUCAUUGAAAAUUUCUCGUGUUUUAUGCUGAUUUGGUUAAUUGUUGUGGGUGCAACAGAUUUUUUCAAUGGAUGGAAAGAACAGUAGCUGCAGAGGAUGUGGAAAGAACAAGGAUUUCAUUGAAGAUUUGUCCCGUUUGUCCAAAAAUCUUGCUCAAAUAUCUAAAGAAGAGGGCGUGGAGAUAUUACUCAAUACAACUAUCCGCAAGAUAACAAGAGUUACAGAAGAGCAGGAGAAACAAGAGGGAAGAGUUACGGAAGAACGGGAGAAACAAGAGGGAAGAGAUCCGUGAAUUAGUUCCUUACAUUUAAUUGAUUAAAGAUUGAUCUUGUGACUUGUAAUAGUCAUGUUUAUGUAAUAUGCACUAUACGUUUAAGUCGAAUUGUGUUCAUGGUUUAUCUUUCAAUUUUGCAUUUUGAUUAUGUGCGUGUAUGUUCUUGGAGUUAAUAUGACGUAAUAGAACCACGAACUGAGCUUAUUGUAUUGUACAGUUCGUUUAUUGAGAUGGAUGGUUCAUUUGUGCAAUAGUGUUCUUUCAAGUGUUGUUGGUU
rnacentral:lncRNA from 1 species